AAAAGAUUCGCAUAUCAGAAUUAGUCCAUUUUUCAGCCUCACUUUCUCUCUCUUCGCGCAGCUCCUUGGAGGCGAUUUCAGAGGCGAUAACUCCAUACACAAACUCUUCCACCAUCGAUCUGGCAGAUCUCCUCCACCAACUACCUCCUUCCAUUUUCGCCUCUCGGUUGUCUGUCUUCUCGCAGGUCGGUUGAGGCGAUUUCAUUUGCGCCUCUCAUUUUUCUCUAUUGUUGCAGAUCGGGGUUGGAUAAUUGCAGAUCAAGCCUUUUUGUCUGCAAAUAUUUCAAAAGCAAACACCAAUUUCAUCUCUCUCAACGGAGAAUACGAAUUGACAAGUGAACGAUCAGUUCAGAAGAGAAAACGAAAAGAGGUUGCUAUUUUCGGCAAUUACAGAAACUACUAUGGUUAUCGUGUUUGUCAGGACUUGAAGGAAGAUCCUAGGUUAAAGGUUUUUAGAAAGGAACUUUUUGAAGGCAAGGAUUGUCUAGACAUUGGAUGCAAUAAUGGAUCGAUAACAAUCGCUAUUGGAUCUAGGGCCCAUGGAAGGCUAUUUGGCAUUCCAAGGUCCUCCUUAAGGUAGUUCUUUUUUGUGUGGAUUGCUGUUUUGGGGAGGAUCCUGACGCUAGUCAUCAACUAGCAGUAGAUUGAAGGACAUGGCAGUAAGUUAUGGGUAGUGGCACCAGUGGGAUUUAUAGGAAGCAUUCUCCAAUUGCUGCAACUCCAGGAAGCUAGUGAUCCCCAAGUUAAUCAAAUGGAGGCCAAUGCAAGUAUAAAGAAAUGUGUGUACAUUUUAUGAAAUGAAUUUUAGUGAUCUCCAAUUGUGUGUACAUUUAUGCAAGUAUAAUGAAGUGUGUGUGUACAAAGGAAUGUCUAGCUCCCUAUAUGUGCAACUAUAUAUGUGAAUGGUGCAACAACAAUUUAUGAAGUUUGUGAUGUACAAAAAAACUUGUGGUUUGGUGUGUUAUUUAGGAUUGAUUAAAAUCCUACCAAAUAUUUUCAAGUACUUGUUUGGAUGGCAAUAAUUUUUCUAGCAGGUUGUUUGAUGGCAUGCCUCUCUUUUUAUUUUUUUAUUUUUUUCGGGGUGAUUUAUUGUUCAGUCUUGUAAGAGAGGGAUCUUUCUUGAUUGCUUGCUUUUAAUCUUUUUUCCUAUUUAUCAAUUCUGGUUAUGGUGGGAGAUUGUACGAAAUAUUCAGAAGUUAGUUAUCAAAAUUAAUACUCAACAAAAGGGGAAAUGGUCUCAUGAGUUAACAAUCAAAA